rnacentral:rRNA from 1 species
AACCGAGUCUUAAUUGGGCGUUAAGUUGCAGGGUAUAGACCCGAAACCCGGUGAUCUAGCCAUGGGCAGGUUGAAGGUUGGGUAACACUAACUGGAGGACCGAACCGACUAAUGUUGAAAAAUUAGCGGAUGACCUGUGGCUGGGGGUGAAAGGCCAAUCAAACCGGGAGAUAGCUGGUUCUCCCCGAAAGCUAUUUAGGUAGCGCCUCGUGAAUUCAUCUCCGGGGGUAGAGCACUGUUUCGGCUAGGGGGCCAUCCCGGCUUACCAACCCGAUGCAAACUGCGAAUACCGGAGAAUGUUAUCACGGGAGACACACGGCGGGUGCUAACGUCCGUCGUGAAGAGGGAAACAACCCAGACCGCCAGCUAAGGUCCCAAAGUCAUGGUUAAGUGGGAAACGAUGUGGGAAGGCCCAGACAGCCAGGAUGUUGGCUUAGAAGCAGCCAUCAUUUAAAGAAAGCGUAAUAGCUCACUGGUCGAGUCGGCCUGCGCGGAAGAUGUAACGGGGCUAAACCAUGCACCGAAGCUGCGGCAGCGACACUCAGGUGUUGUUGGGUAGGGGAGCGUUCUGUAAGCCUGUGAAGGUGGCCUGUGAGGGUUGCUGGAGGUAUCAGAAGUGCGAAUGCUGACAUAAGUAACGAUAAAGCGGGUGAAAAGCCCGCUCGCCGGAAGACCAAGGGUUCCUGUCCAACGUUAAUCGGGGCAGGGUGAGUCGACCCCUAAGGCGAGGCCGAAAGGCGUAGUCGAUGGGAAACGGGUUAAUAUUCCCGUACUUGGUGUUACUGCGAAGGGGGGACGGAGAAGGCUAUGUUGGCCGGGCGACGGUUGUCCCGGUUUAAGCGUGUAGGUGUG